AGCGAACGCUGGCGGCAGGCCUAACACAUGCAAGUCGAACGAACCCUUCGGGGUUAGUGGCGGACGGGUGAGUAACACGUGGGAACGUGCCUUUAGGUUCGGAAUAACUCAGGGAAACUUGUGCUAAUACCGAAUGUGCCCUUCGGGGGAAAGAUUUAUCGCCUUUAGAGCGGCCCGCGUCCGAUUAGCUAGUUGGUGGGGUAAUGGCUCACCAAGGCUACGAUCAGUAGCUGGUCUGAGAGGAUGACCAGCCACAUUGGGACUGAGACACGGCCCAAACGCCUACGGGAGGCAGCAGUGGGGAAUCUUGCGCAAUGGGCGAAAGCUUGACGCAGCCAUGCCGCGUGGAUGAUGAAGGUCUUAGGAUUGUAAAAUCCUUUCACCGGUGAAGAUAAUGACUGUAGCCGGAGAAGAAGCCCCGGCUAACUUCGUGCCAGCAGCCGCCGUAAUAC
rnacentral:rRNA from 1 species